UAACAAGGAAACACUUCUUAGGCUUAUAAGAUCGAGUUGCGGUUUAAGUUCUUAUACUCAAUCAUACACAUGACAUCAAGUCAUAAUCGAUUGCAAAACACUAACCAACCUUCUUCUUGCGCCUCA
rnacentral:sRNA from 1 species